AAUGCACACAUUGCUCAAUCCAAGGACAAGGGCUAGAUAUGAACCAUGAGAACUUGAUUGUUUGGACAGCAACUGUGGGAGGCUUUCUUAGCCUGGGCUCAAGGCCUGAGAACCAGGAUUGUAGUAGAUAAAGGAUGGUAACUAAGUAUAUUAAUCAACGUCAUACAUUCCUUUGGGUAGCAGUGUGUAAUGCUUAGGGGGAGAAAUAUAAUAAAAGGAGAAGGUGGAAGGCGGGGGGGGCAGAACAGCCCAUCUCCGCUGACCAGCCUGCUUGCUUGCAUAAAGCUGUGUUCUGUCUCAUCACUGAACCGCCACAACUGGCGCCCAAACGUGGGGCCCUCAGCACUCACCUCGCCCGGCAAGGGUUUCAGACGCGUCACUCAUCCGCUUCGUGGAUCCCGGGCUGGUGGACACUGGAGCUGACGUUACGGUGAUUCGUGAUCUGGAGUGGCCGGACCGUUGUGGGUUCCAGCUCGGUGUGUGCGACCGGCACUUAAACAACAUGGCAUGGCACCAGGGACUGUCGAAUCCCAUACCAGAGUUUCAGCUGACCUUGGAGGAGACCGCGUUGCCCCCCGAGUCGACAACGACGGGACAGAAACGGAGGAGGCGUAGUGUCCCAAGCCAGCCCGUGACAUGGGGAGCAGUAAAAGCAUUGGUCGCCGCAGCUCAACAAAGACUGGCAGCAGAUCAACAGCCAGAGACUCCUGAGACUUUGUUUGUGGCGAUUCUCGCCCAAAUCACUGCUAAUUCUGUGAUGAUUGUGUGCCUUUUGUGCCUGCUAUUUCCUGUAGGGGUUGGCUCGGAAGCGCCUCCCCCGUUACAAGCCUGAAUGACAUAUAACAUAUGGGAAAGAUUGGCUUCAAUAGCAAAUGUUACCCACUUUUGUUUAUCUAAUUCUGUAGCAGCCGGAGAUUUGUUAGGUACAUGCCUUAUUCCAGUAUGUCAUCACCCUGAGGAGAUGGAGAAUAAGACACUGUUCUCUGCUUAUGCUAAUCUUUCCUCCCAGUACUCUAGCAUGGCUAAUUGGGGCCCGACCAACUAUACUCUGCCUCGCACGGCUAUAUCCCUCCACACACCGUACCCGGCCGGGGCUCACAAUGUCACCUGUGCACGUGUAGUUAACUGCACUAGUACAAAGGUGCCCUUGGGCUGUCGAAAAAUUUCUCAACCCCUUUUAAAUUGUUCCCAUGCUGUUAAUGUUUCAUAUAAUUAUGGCCAUAUCAUCCUACCAUCAGGAUGGUUUUUUACUUGCGGUUCACGCACCUUUAAUUAUAUUCCUGCAAAUUUAAGUGAUGGCACCCUUUGCUGUCUUAGUAGAAUGAUACUUAUAUUGCCUUUUGCUGGUCACAAUUGUAGUAAAAGAAGUGUACCCUUUUUAGAUGAUUAUAUUGCAGAUGUUGAGCUUUGUGGUUAUUCUGUGUUUGUAAUCAUUGGGCUUUUUUUUUUUGCUGCUGCUGUGUACAAUGUAUUCCUUCCUUGUUAAGACUUUGUAAAAUUUUGCCCUGGAAAGCUCCCCAGGUUAUGUCCUUGUCUGUCUGGGAGUUAAAUAGCAUGACAAAACAAAUUGACGGCUACCAUGAGAUGGCCAAAUAUCAUUAAAUAAAAAACGGGGAGAUGAAGAGGUCAUGUUUAGCUAUUCCACCUGGAAGCAGGCAGGGCACACCCUGACUGUUUUGUAGAAGCAAUGCACACAUUGCUCAAUC